UGUUCCAACUGUUCUUUCCAUAAUAAAGUUUUAUUAAAAGAUUGUGUACUUGUUUAUCAAGCAGACAGAAUUACCUUAGUGUAAAAUUAAUGUUUUUGUUAAGAUACAUAUUAUUUGAUAAUAGAUUUUUAUUCUGCAGCCUUUCCAAUAAAGCUGUCAUUUUUUUCAAAUUAUAAAAUAAACCCUGCUGUAAAAGAUACAUAAAAAGGAGUCAUUUCAAUCCAAGUCUCUUUAAAAUGUAAUUUCCAGCACUGUCAUUUCCACCACAGAAUGCUUUCAAACACAUUUCAUACCCUGAGAUGGAGUGGAAAUGACAGUUGUUCAUUAUUAAAAGUGCCCAUUGUUGAAGAAAAAUGGAAGAAUCAUGUUGAUGUAUUGUGUCACACCUUGUUAGGACACUAUGUGGAAAUCUGUUCCUGGUGAGAAAGGCAGUGAGGGGCCUCAGGGAAAAGAUGGCCAACCUGGUUUGGAUGGCUUCCCUGGACCACAGGGACCGAAGGGCAACAAGGGAGACCGAGGCGACAGGGGUGAACCUGGUCGAGAUGGAGCUGGACUUCAAGGUCCACCCGGCCCCCUGGACCACCUGGACAAAUUAUUUAUGGUUAUUCUGAAAAUAAUGAUGGAGGAGCAGGACCUCGGGGUGGGGCUGGUCUUCCUGGUCAAGCAGGAUUCCCAGGCCCAGUGGGACCAAAGGGUGUCAGAGGAGAACCUGGUUCACCAGGCUACGGCAUUAAGGGUGAGAAAGGAGAACCCGAUUUUCAAGGGUCCCCCUGGUCCCCCAGGGCCUCCUGGUCCCCCUGGACCUGCUCUGCCCUUGGACCGAUUCAGUAGAUAUGAAGAUUAUUCGAGACAGUAUCCAGCUAUAAAAGGAGAUAAAGGAGACCAGGGAGCUCCUGGAGUUCCAGGGUCACCAGGUAAAAUUUACCACUGUUGCUGUUUCUAG
rnacentral:lncRNA from 1 species